GGACAAGUCACGGAAGACAAAGAGCAGCGCUGACCCCUCGAGAACCCGCCCCACCCCGCGCCGCAGCAGGCCGGGUGGGGCCGAGCCUCCCACGUGAGAUCUUACACGUAGGCCCGGGCUGGGAGCACCCGCCCCACGGAGCGGACCGGGCCUGGGGCGGAGGGCGGGGGCCGGGGCUGCUGUGCUGCGCCCGAGCACGUACCGGGGCGUGGCCUGCAGCGCGGCGGGCGGGGUUUGGGGAAGUUUCUCCCGACGGCUUGUGUUUCGCAUCCUCAUCAUGUAGUACCAGCGGCACCACGGACAUUAGGGGUGGUCGGUCCCCUCCGCAUCCUUGUUAUUUUCCCCGCUGAGGGGGCUGUCUGAUCACUGCUGCUCUCAGGCACCUGUCUUUCCUCUCCGUCCCGGGAUGGAUCCGAGACAAGGGAAUAAAGGAAAUUAAAUAGUACGAGGAGAUCGGGUGUCUGGGCAGCGUCUUGGAUAAAACCGCCCACUACAGGCUCAUUACGCCCCUGUAAAACAACUCACCAGCAUCCAGAAGUUUCCUCACACGCAAAUAGCUGAUGGUGAGCCUCAUAACAGAAGCCUUAUCGAGAUGUGAGCUCACAUUAUGGGGAAGUGGCAACUGAUGAGCAAGUUCAUAGAAAACUUCAGAUUCUUUACUUCGCCGAGAUCUCGCUGCAUCUCUAGACUUUUCUUUUCGACGUUCAGAACUUAUCCUAUUGAGCAAAAAAAGGAGGACAGAAAAAGAAAAUUUAUAUAAGUUAGCUUGCCUUUGCUUGGAUAAAACUAAUUUUACAUUUUUCUGCUUUCCAUAAAACAAUGUGAAGAUGCCAUGUAAUUAUACAGAGAUUGGUCUACUACAUGAACGUGUAAAGUAAGAAUGUAGGAGACAGAUACACAAAUUUCUGGAUUACUGAAGACAUAGGGAACUCUAACAAAGAAGUCCAAGAUGGAACUUUAAACCUGUCUGAAACAGGUAUUUCCUUCCUGGCAUAUCAAAUUAGAGAGGACAUUUUGUUUUAGCCAAAGUCUUAAAAGUAGCCUGUGUAUGUGCACCCUCAUAGCCAUUCAGAAGUAGUUUCAACAUAAAGAAAGCACCAUUAAGUCUAAAGAAACUAAAGCUGUACAUAUUAACUUGAAAACAGGAGUUGUUAAGCUGGCAGAACAGUUACAGCUACAAACUGAUUUUUGACUUGUUUCUUUGGACUCUGAUAUUUUCCCAACUUCUUCUACCCUACCACAUGAGCAAUACUGACUAUAAGCUAAAGAAAUCUAUAUUAGCAGCUAUAACAAGUUACCAUUUUCAGGUUGCUUAUUCCCUUAGCAGCCUCUUUAGCAGCCCUUUUUCUUUACUGGCACAAGUACCAAAUAAAGGCAGGAGUAUAGAAGAAAAAAAAAAAGAUGUGACACAAUACUAAGAAUUGAAAGAAACAGGUUAAUAAACAUUAACAAAGGUGUCAAAACAAGGAUAUAUCUUUAGGGAACUUUUCCAAGAAUAAAGUCAGAAAGAUUUUCCUAAGCAGAGACAUUCCCUUCCUUUGCUUGACUGUGUAGAAACAUCUAUUCCUCCUGACCCAGCUGGAGGAGGUAAACAAGGCUAACCCUGGUUCUGUCCUUAGCUUCUUUAAGAGCUGUUGUUUAUUAAAACCUACUAUGUGCCAAAUGUUACCCCGUACCAGGUGCCUAGUUCUCUCAAAAUUUGUAAAUAGGGUAAAUAUUAUCCUUUUUACAGAUGAGGUUAUACAGUAGGCUAAAAACAGCCAUUAGCAGACGGGAUUUGAACUCACAAGGUGUUUUUUUCACUCCCAAGUCUGUUUGCUCUUCCAGUGUUUUAUCUUAAGGAAGAAUGCUGCUUCUACCUCAAAUACUCAGCAUGCUCCUAUGACUUUCAACCUAAUUCUGUUAAGUCAAUUAUUUAUUAAAUGUUGAAAACGGCUGUUACCAUUUAUUAAGCACUUAGCACUAUGCUAAGGACUUUGUCAGCAUUCUAUCACUUAAUCCUCCUUACAUCCUAUGAAUGAAGCACAUAAUUGUAUCUACCUCAAAUCUCUCCUCCCUCCAAAUUAUCUGCAAAACUGCAAGGUUCAAUCAUAGAAGCAACACUCUCAAAAAAACAGGCAGGGUUCUCAGCACAUGCUCCCAUUAUGUUGAGUAACAGUUGUAUUGUGCAACAGUGAUAAUCUAGUUUUAACACUUAAAUUUGUGUGUGUAUCUGACUUUUAUACAUUAAUAAGGAAUGUGAAUAUUUGCUGUUGUUAGUAACUGAACUUUGAUACAAAUUUUUCAACUCAAGCAUCUAGAUCAAUUUUACUUGAGUAUUUUGAGAUUUAAGGUAAGCUAUUAAAAACUAUUACUAUUUAUAACUAG